UACGUAGGGUGCAGGCGUUAAUCGGAAUUACUGGGCGUAAAGCGUGCGCAGGCGGUCUUUUAAGUCAGAUGUGAAAUCCCCGGGCUCAACCUGGGAACUGCAUUUGUGACUGCAUGACUAGAGUACGGUAGAGGGGGAUGGAAUUCCGCGUGUAGCAGUGAAAUGCGUAGAUAUGCGGAGGAACACCGAUGGCGAAGGCAAUCCCCUGGACCUGUACUGACGCUCAUGCACGAAAGCGUGGGGAGCAAACAGG
rnacentral:rRNA from 1 species